rnacentral:rRNA from 1 species
GAUGAACGCUGGCGGCGUGCCUAAUACAUGCAAGUCGAGCGAACAGACGAGGCGCUCGCCUCUCUGCCGUUAGCGGCGGACGGGUGAGUCACAGGUGGCUAACCUAUAUAUAAGACUGGGAUCACUACGGGAAACCGGAGAUCAUAUAGGAUAAUAUAUAGAACGGCAUGGUUCAUUAGUCAUCGCCGUUUUUGAUGUCACUAAUUCAUGGUACCAGGCCGGUUUAGCUAGUUGGUAAGGUAACGGCUUACCAAGGCUACGAUGCGUAGCCGACCUGAGAGGAUGAUCGGCCACACUGGAACUGAGACACGGUCCAGACUCCUACGGGAGGCAGCAGUAGGGAAUCUUGGGCAAUGGGCGAAAGCCUGACGGAGCAAUGCCGCGUGUGUGAUGAAGGUCUUCGGAUCGUAAAACUCUUUAAGUAGGGAAGAACAAAUGUAAAAUAAUCUAUUGACGUCUUGACGUUACCAAAACAGUAAGCCACGGCUAACUUCGUG